rnacentral:rRNA from 1 species
GACGAACGCUGGCGGCGUGCUUAACACAUGCAAGUCGAGCGGAAAGGCCUGCUUUCCCUUGUGGAUUGCGGGUACUCGAGUGGCGAACGGGUGAGUAACACGUGAGUGAUCUGCCCCCAACUUGGGUAUAAGCCUGGGAAACUGGGUCUAAUUCCCGAUAGGACUGCAGGGUGGUGCCUGUGGUGGAAAACGAUUUUCUAGUGGUUGGGGAUGAGCUCGCGGCCUAUCAGCUUGUUGGUGGGGUAAUGGCCUACCAAGGCGGCGACGGGUAGCCGGCCUGAGAGGGUGGACGGCCACAUUGGGACUGAGAUACGGCCCAGACUCCUACGGGAGGCAGCAGUGGGGAAUAUUGCACAAUGGGCGGGAGCCUGAUGCAGCGACGCCGCGUGGGGGAUGACGGCCUUCGGGUUGUAAACUCCUUUCGACCGCGAGGAAGCCACCUGGUUGGAAGGGUGGUGACGGUAGUGGUAGAAGAAGCACCGGCUAACUACGUG